rnacentral:rRNA from 1 species
AUACGUAGGGGGCGAGCGUUGUCCGGAAUUACUGGGCGUAAAGGGUGCGUAGGCGGCCUUAUAAGUCAGAUGUGAAAUACCACGGCUUAACCGUGGGGGUGCAUUUGAAACUGUAGGGCUUGAGUGCAGGAGAGGAAAGCGGAAUUCCUAGUGUAGCGGUGAAAUGCGUAGAGAUUAGGAGGAACACCAGUGGCGAAGGCGGCUUUCUGGACUGUAACUGACGCUGAGGCACGAAAGCGUGGGUAGCGAACAGGAUUAGAUACCCUGGUAGUCCACGCCGUAAACGAUGGAUACUAGGUGUAGGGGGUAUCGACCCCCCCUGUGCCGGAGUUAACGCAAUAAGUAUCCCGCCUGGGGAGUACGUGCGCAAGCAUGAA